ensembl:lncRNA
GUGAGAGUUCAUGUGCAACGUAUGAAACAAAUCCAGCAUCAUCAUCCUUUCCGACAGCCCAGGUACAUCAUGAGAGGUGAAGGGCAGAAAGGUGUAAGAAAGCACCUAUAGGGUACUGGAGGAUGCUAACGCAGAGCAAUACGCAAAGUAAACAACCAGACUCAUUUCAAAAGACUUAAUCACAUUGGGUUGUCAUCCAUGCUCCAAGGACUAGCAAUAAAGAAUUCAUUUCUGAUGCAGCACCUUUUACCCCAUCAAAGACACUUCUACGAUAUUAAGGUUAUUAAGCCCUGAGAACAAGACUCAGCUGGCACCUCUAAAUUUAGCUGAAUAUUAGGACGUGCGGGAAUUUCUUACAGACAGCAGCCAUCUCUUCUGAGCUGGGAAAGGACACGAUGCUGGAUCAUAUCAGCACCUACCGUAGCAGCAUUUAAUAUGAACAUCAUGCUUGAAGCUGACACCCCAGCUGACAGGCUGACAGCAGAAAAGAUGAAGAGACAGAAGGAAGAACGCGAGAGGCCAUUAUCUGAUGCAUAUGAGAUGAAAUCCGUCUGGACGUGACAUCGCUUUACAGUGUAGGUCAAUAUUUGACAAAGACAGACGAUUAACCAAAUAUUUCUUGAUGUGCCAAAAUACGCUUGUCAUAGCGUUAAUCAAAGUGUUCCAGUGCAGUUACAGCUACAAAGGCAGACAUACACACGCUGAACAUCCAGGUUUCCAUGCACUUGCUACAAUUCAUUACCAUUAUUGUUCUGUAGUUUUAGUUAAAUGCUCACUGAUUCAGUGUUGUGCACAUCAGGGCAAGAACAAGAGUUGCACACUGCCCUCGUAAAAAUCUACACUAAUGGCAGUGAUCCACUGUCGACACUGCUGAAAUGCACCACCCACCACCUCACUGUGCUCACAUCCACUGUCUGGUCUCCAUAAAUGCUCAGCGGGCAUAGAUGAAUAUCAGUGGCUGCAAUUUUUUUCUGCACAGAGGAACUGAAUGACACACGUUGCUUCACAUGCACUUCCAUGUCAGGUGCCAUUUGUCAGACUGCCCCUCUGCUGCCAUCUGUCACAUGGCAACAAAAUGGAACAAAACACUGGUGGGAAAGUUCAACCUCUACUGCCGUAUCAUCAACAUCUACCUCUGACAUCUUAAUAAAAUAGAAUGCAUUACUUUCAAAGCAGACCUCAUGCAUUUCUGACAAUUAUUACAAAUGAACUGUUUACUUUCAUCUAGUUCAUCCCAGACAACAGCAAAUAAUUCCCAUCUCGUGUUAAUUAUAGUACGUGAAUCUAUAAAUUGAAUUGUUCAGUGGUCAAGUAGAAAGGGAUCAAUCACUGCAUCAUUGUGACAACUUGAAAUAUUAGUAGGGUACUGACUGUCACAAUGUGCCACAUUUCAAUUCUUCUUUUACUUUCUUUUGUGUUUAAAAGGACCACCACCAAGUUUCUGUUCUGUCUUUCAUAAGUUAAUUACUAGCAGUCUCCCUCUAAAAAUUCCUGUACACUGCGUGAAGGGAGCAUUGCAGUUUCUGCCAAACAAUUUUCCUGCACAGAAGACAAUGCUUGUGAUCAAAUAGAGAAUAUACGAUAACAACGUAGUACGCUAUUCACUCUUCAUCGUACUUCUCCUGCAAUUAAAUACAAAAAUGAGGGACAAAAUUCAUGUCAUGUGGUUUUAGUGGGUAAUAUUCGUGGUACGUGGAUGGUUGGACUAGAUGAUCUUGGAGGUCGUUUCCAACCUCGGUCAUUCUAUAAUCAUAACCUAUGACUAAUACUUAAUUUUUUUUUUAAUUAUUCAUUUGUAUAAACUAACUAUUGAGUUGAGUCAAUACGCAAAACUGACUUAUUUUUAAAAAUAAAUAUAUCAUCAGUAUAUGUAUGUAUGUAUACAUAUAUAUACACUAUACUAUAUGUGUGUAUAUAUAUAUAUAUAUAAUAAUUCUCAGAAUACACAGAAUGGAAGAAUGAAGAAUUCAUGUGUAUAUUUUUCCAGAAAUCUGGAAAAUCCAUUCUGAAGCUUUCCAUUGAGAAAUUUGUUUAUUAAGCAGGGAAGCAAUGAAACUGUGCUAAUAUUUCAUAUCCUUAUAGAACACCUUUUAAUCUGAGAAUCAUAACUGGACUAAAAGUGGGGAAAUAGGAAAUAGGUCAUUCUGAGCACACCAUAACAAAUGCAUCUGAAGUGGACAGCCACUGUAAUUUCCAGCUUUUCAUAGCUCAUUAUAACAGAAAAAAAAUUACAGAUUUCAGAAGUUAUUGGAUAACUGAAUAAAAAUGCCCUCUCAAUAUAACACCCAUUAUGAAAGGUCAAGAUUGGACUUCGCUGUCUUAUUUCUUAAGCGGGGAAGCACUAGAACAUUUAUGCUUCCCAAUGACUAAAACAGUCUUGUGAAAUAUGUAUGCUAAGUCUAAGAAAAUGACAUACCACAUUUAACAGCAGAAUAUAACCCUUUUUAAAAUCAAAUAGGCUUAAACACUUUUAAAGUAGAUUUUUUUCUUUUUUUCUUUUUUUUUUUUUCCACAAGAAAAUUAGUAAAAUGUACUGUUUCAUUUUUGUACAUAGGCAUUACUGUGAUCUUUGCCUUUUUGGUAUAUUGAGCACUUCUUAGUUGCAAAUUUUAUAAUGGUAAGUAAUACGUUAUAGGACUAAAAGUGCACCCCAAAAGUUUUGAUUUAUAUAUGCUCUCACUCAUAUAUAUACAUAUGGUAUAUAUGGUUUAAUGAGGAAAUAGUGGUGGUAGGUUGAUGGUUGAAAUGGAUGAUCUUGGAGGUCUUUUCCAACCUCAGUGAUUCCAUGACCCUAUAUAUCAUAUAUAUAUAUAUAUGUUACAUACGGAUAUAUACACAUACUUAUAUAAAUUCAUGUAUAUGAAUAUCUAAUGUGCAUUUUUAUGUUUACAAGUGCAUACAGAUUGAUAGAAAGAGAGAUGAAAUCAGAGAUGAAGACUAUUAUGCAAAAGGAAAAUUCAAAUAGAAGUUUUAAAUGGUAUAG